UUUGGGAACAACCUCACGACGAAUAACGAAUUGACGGACAUCAUCUUCCUUGGACAAGUUAAAGAAGCGGCGGAUCUUAGAGGCACGCUUUGGACCAAGACGCUUGGGGACGGUAACAUCGGUCAAACCAGGGAUAUCUUGUUCACCUUGUUUAAUAAUGGCAAGAGCAAGGACAGCCAAAUCUUGGCCGACGAUGCAACCACGGACAGAUUUACGCUUGCGCUCACCAUCACGGCGUGGGCGAUAGCAAGGGUGGCCAGCACGAAGCAAAAGACGAACACGGUGAGGAAGCA